rnacentral:rRNA from 2 species
GAGGCGGCCCCCUUGAACAAAGAACUGACGUCAGUUGCGAAAGCGUGGGGAGCAAACAGGAUUAGAUACCUGUAGUCCACGCCGUAAACGAUGUCGAUUUGGAGUUGUGCCUUGAGGCGUGGCUUCCGGAGCUAACGCGUUAAAUCGACCGCUGGGGAGUACGGCCGCAAGGUUAAAACUCAAAUGAAUUGACGGGGGCCCGCACAAGCGGUGGAGCAUGUGGUUUAAUUCGAUGCAACGCGAAGAACCUUACCUGGUCUUGACAUCCACAGAACUUUCCAGAGAUGGAUUGGUGCCUUCGGGAACUGUGAGACAGGUGCUGCAUGGCUGUCGUCAGCUCGUGUUGUGAAAUGUUGGGUUAAGUCCCGCAACGAGCGCAACCCUUAUCCUUUGUUGCCAGCGGUUAGGCCGGGAACUCAAAGGAGACUGCCAGUGAUAAACUGGAGGAAGGUGGGGAUGACGUCAAGUCAUCAUGGCCCUUACGACCAGGGCUACACACGUGCUACAAUGGCGCAUACAAAGAGAAGCGACCUCGCGAGAGCAAGCGGACCUCAUAAAGUGCGUCGUAGUCCGGAUUGGAGUCUGCAACUCGACUCCAUGAAGUCGGAAUCGCUAGUAAUCGUAGAUCAGAAUGCUACGGUGAAUACGUUCCCGGGCCUUGUACACACCGCCCGUCACACCAUGGGAGUGGGUUGCAAAAGAAGUAGGUAGCUUAACCUUCGGGAGGGCGCUUACCACUUUGUGAUUCAUGACUGGGGGACUGUC